AUCCAAAGCAAUGAUAGUUUGUAUAUAAAAAAAGAAAUGAUAAUUUCUUGAAAUUCGUGGGGCCCAAGGCCGCGGCCUAGUUGAACUAUAGAAACUUCGAUCCAUUUCUUGGUUUGACACUUCACUAUAUCUCAAAGAACUGGACCCUAGAGAAGCUGCUGGUGUAUUGUGGAAAUGCAGAGGGUAGACAUACAUCUCAAAACAUUGCUGAACUUCUUGACAAGGCAAUUAGUGAGAUUGUAGGCCUUCCAUCAAAUGUCCACAAGACCUGCACAAGUGAUUAUGCAGCUAAUAUGCUAGUAGCCAUCCCAAAACUGACAGAAGAAAUUCAGGAGGGCCUUGGGUGUGUUGACCAUAUACUUAACCUUGUGGUGACUGAGUGUCUCGGCAUCCCUGAAGUAAAGAAUGCUGUUGAUGCAUUCAAGAAAUUGUCAUCCAGAACUCACAAAAGCAGCAUUGCUCAACGAGGAUUAAGAAAGAGUGUGCCAGGAUAAACAAUCAAUCUAAGGAUGAUACAAACAUUGAAACUGUUGAAUUUGUCAAAAUCAUUGCACCUGUUGAAACCCGCUGGAAUUCCAUCUUGAUGAUGAUGCGAUCUAUUUUAAAGUUGAGGCCAGCUUUUGAGAGGAUCAAAGAGGACUUCAGCAAGGGAACUGAUCCCAAGAUAAGAGAAAAAAUCUCUACAUCAGAGGAAUUUGAACAGAUUGUUGCCAUCAUUGGUCCACUCACCAAGAUUGAAGAGAUGUCUUUAUUCUUUUCUUCUGACCAAAAAUCAACCAUCUGCUAUGUGGUGUC